AUUGAACGCUGGCGGCAUGCUUUACACAUGCAAGUCGAACGGCAGCGCGGGCUUUUGCUUGGCGGCGAGUGGCGAACGGGUGAGUAAUACAUGGGAACGUGCCCAGUAGCGGGGGAUAGCUCGUCGAGAGCCGGAUUAAUACCGCAUACUACCUGAUGGUGAAAGCGGGUGAUCUUUGGACCUGGCGCUCUUGGAGCGCCCGAUGGCCGGUUAGCUAGUUGGUCGGGUAAGGACCUACCAAGGCGACGAUCUGUUGCUGGUCUGCGCGGAAGGCCAGCAACAAUGGGACUGAUACACGGCCCAGACUCCUACGGGAGGCAGCAGUUGGGAAUGUUGGACGAAGGGCGAAAACAUGAACCAGCAGUGGCACGUGUGUGAUGAAGGGCUGCGGGUUGUAAAGCACUUUUGGCGGGAACGAAAAGGACUGUGCAAAUACCACCGUUGGAUGACGGUAGCCGCCGAAUAAGCACCGGCUAACUACGUG
rnacentral:rRNA from 1 species